AUACUCUGGUUUCUCUUCAAAUCGUAUAAAUCUUUCGCCUUUUACUAAAGAUUUCCGUGGAGAGAAACAAUUCCGAGUCUUAAACUAAUUUUUUGAGGUCUUGCUAUUGCAAGACU
ensembl:snRNA U5 U5 spliceosomal RNA